GAGAAUCUUCCGCAAUGCGCGAAAGCGUGACGGAGCGACACCGCGUGAUGGAUGAAGUCCUUCGGGGCGUAAACAUCUUUUAUAAAGGAGGAAAUUUUUGACGUUACUUUAUGAAUAAGGGGCUCCCAAUCUCGUGCCAGCAGGAGCGGUAAUACGAGAGCCUCAAGCGUUAUCCGGAAUCAUUGGGCGUAAAGGGUGCGUAGGUGGUUUGAUUAGUCUCCCGUUAAAACUUCGAGCUUAACUCGAAAAGAGCGGGGGAAACGGUCAAACUAGAGUAUGUGAGAGGUGUGUGGAACUCAUGGUGUAGGGGUGAAAUCCGUUGAUAUCAUGGGGAACACCAAAAGCGAAGG
rnacentral:rRNA from 1 species